GUCGAAAGUCGGAGGAGUCCUGGGAGGGUCAAUCCUGUUAAAAACUUCGACUGAGGGUAUUUUAUACCCAACACAUCUUUUAGAUGUGUAAGGCUUUUCUCCUAUUUUAUGGAUAAAUACUGUUCAUAAAAAUAUAUUUUACCUAUCUAGAAAAGUACGAAAACAUGGAUAAGCUGGUCAAUGAGAAGGUUGACCAACUUUCCUAUGACCUUUAUCCUAGGGUGGAACUGGGUCG
rnacentral:lncRNA from 1 species